GACGGAGGGUGCUAGCGUUGUUCGGAAUCACUGGGCGUAAAGGGCGCGUAGGCGGCCAAGGCAGUCGGCACGUGAAAGCCCGGGGCUCAACUCCGGAGGUGCGUCCGAUACUCUUUGGCUGGAGGCCGGAAGAGGAGGGUGGAAUACCCAGUGUAGAGGUGAAAUUCGUAGAUAUUGGGUGGAACACCGGUGGCGAAAGCGGCUCUCUGGUCCGGACCUGACGCUGAGGCGCGAAAGCGUGGGGAGCAAACAGG
rnacentral:misc_RNA from 1 species